CACGUAGGGGGCGAGCGUUGUCCGGAUUUAUUGGGCGUAAAGAGCUCGUAGGCGGCUCAGUAAGUCAGGUGUGAAAACUCCAGGCUCAACCUGGAGACGCCACUUAAUACUGCUGUGGCUAGAGUCCGGUAGGGGAGCAUGGAAUUCCUGGUGUAGCGGUGAAAUGCGCAGAUAUCAGGAGGAACACCAGUGGCGAAGGCGGUGCUCUGGGCCGGAACUGACGCUGAGGAGCGAAAGCGUGGGGAGCAAACAGG
rnacentral:rRNA from 1 species